rnacentral:SRP_RNA from 1 species
GCUGGGCGCGGUGGCUCACGCCUGUAAUCCCAGCACUUUGGGAGGCUGAGGCAGGUGGAUCACCUGAGGUCAGGAGUUCAAGACCAGCCUGGCCAACAUGGUGAAAUCCUGUCUCUA